rnacentral:pre_miRNA from 1 species
AGUGGGACUGCUGGGUCAGAUGGUAGUCCUGUCUUAACUUUUCGAGGAAGCUCCAUGCUGUUUUCCACAGUGACAGUGCUAAUGUACAUUCCCUCCAGCAGU